rnacentral:rRNA from 1 species
GACGAACGCUGGCGGCGUGCCUAAUACAUGCAAGUCGAGCGAGCUUGCCUAGAUGAUUUUAGUGCUUGCACUAAAUGAAACUAGAUACAAGCGAGCGGCGGACGGGUGAGUAACACGUGGGUAACCUGCCCAAGAGACUGGGAUAACACCUGGAAACAGAUGCUAAUACCGGAUAACAACACUAGACGCAUGUCUAGAGUUUGAAAGAUGGUUCUGCUAUCACUCUUGGAUGGACCUGCGGUGCAUUAGCUAGUUGGUAAGGUAACGGCUUACCAAGGAAAUGAUGCAUAGCCGAGUUGAGAGACUGAUCGGCCACAUUGGGACUGAGACACGGCCCAAACUCCUACGGGAGGCAGCAGUAGGGAAUCUUCCACAAUGGACGAAAGUCUGAUGGAGCAACGCCGCGUGAGUGAAGAAGGGUUUCGGCUCGUAAAGCUCUGUUGGUAGUGAAGAAAGAUAGAGGUAGUAACUGGCCUUUAUUUGACGGUAAUUACUUAGAAAGUCACGGCUAACUACGUGCCAGCCGCCGCGGUAAGAC